UCCCUUCAGCAAGGAUAUAAUGAGGGAAAAAGUGAUGGUGAUUCUUGUUGGGAUCCAAAGUGAUGGAACAAUCAAUCCUCUUGUAGUAUUUGGGCUUCACCAAUUUGCCAAGAACGUAGGCCUUGGAUCUAACCACAAAGCUGAGUUUCAAU